UAUCUUCAGGGCGAGGUGAAAUUCCUCACUGGCGGUACAGUCCGCGAGCGAUGCCUUUUGGCAGAGCAUGAACCGGUGUGAUUCCGGUACCAACGGUUACAGUCCGGAUGGGAGAAGAU
rnacentral:ncRNA from 1 species